UGCAGUCGAGCGAACGGAUAAGGAGCUUGCUCCUUUGAAGUUAGCGGCGGACGGGUGAGUAACACGUGGGUAACCUACCUAUAAGACUGGGAUAACUUCGGGAAACCGGAGCUAAUACCGGAUAACAUUUAGAACCGCAUGGUUCUAAAGUGAAAGAUGGUUUUGCUAUCACUUAUAGAUGGACCCGCGCCGUAUUAGCUAGUUGGUAAGGUAACGGCUUACCAAGGCGACGAUACGUAGCCGACCUGAGAGGGUGAUCGGCCACACUGGAACUGAGACACGGUCCAGACUCCUACGGGAGGCAGCAGUAGGGAAUCUUCCGCAAUGGGCGAAAGCCUGACGGAGCAACGCCGCGUGAGUGAUGAAGGGUUUCGGCUCGUAAAACUCUGUUAUUAGGGAAGAACAAAUGUGUAAGUAACUGUGCACAUCUUGACGGUACCUAAUCAGAAAGCCACGGCUAACUACGUGCCAGCAGCCGCGGUAAUACGUAGGUGGCAAGCGUUAUCCGGAAUUAUUGGGCGUAAAGCGCGCGUAGGCGGUUUCUUAAGUCUGAUGUGAAAGCCCACGGCUCAACCGUGGAGGGUCAUUGGAAACUGGGAAACUUGAGUGCAGAAGAGGAAAGUGGAAUUCCAUGUGUAGCGGUGAAAUGCGCAGAGAUAUGGAGGAACACCAGUGGCGAAGGCGACUUUCUGGUCUGUAACUGACGCUGAUGUGCG
rnacentral:rRNA from 7 species